UCUCUCUCUUACUUCAUUUCAAAUUUCACACCUCUCAUCUCUCUCCUCCCUCAGUCUUGGAAAAUCCUCCGACCACCUCCGAUGAGCACCACCGGACGCUCCCUCUCAACUGCUGGAAAAGGACGGAGGCUUGGUGGAAUCGAGUCGGGGUCGGAGGGCUCCCUCUGAAGAACUGGUCAUCGAAGAGAGAUCGAGCCGUGGUUCUACCCGGAGGACCCAGAAGAUAGGCGAAGUUGAACUCCCUGUCGACGGCAUCGCCUUGCCAUCCUUGUCGCCAUCUCCGCAUUCACUGGCACUAACCGUCUUCUUAGUUGCCCGUUCAUCUUCUCCUCUUCCUCCUCCUCCUCUGCCUCCUCCCAUUGAGGUGAUUAGUUGAGCACCACCCAUCGAAGUAGAAAACUCAUCGCAUCGUCAAAGAUCAGGAGCCUUGAAAAUGAGAGCAUCAGAAUAACGUCGACAGAGGGGACAUUCUUGGACAGAGAGAGUGAUGGGGCAAUGGUUGAAAAUUCUGCAGAUGGGGAUGAACAAAACUGGCCCAUUAAUGUUCAAGCCACGGGGGGUCAGAAUAGUGUUUUCUUGAACAUUUCAAACUCCAGGGGCACUUCUGAAGUUGAAAUAACUGGCAGCAUCAAUGACGAUCUUGGUUCACCCAUCAAACAAGCAAAUGAUGCACCCCUAGAGAAAAUGGAUACUGAGUUGGCAGAUUCAGGUGAUGACGUCCCCUCUACUGCUAUAGCCAAAACGGGUAUUGGUGGGAGAAGAUUGAGGGCCGUGUUUGAUGAUGAUGAGGAUUAGCAUAAUGGAAAUCAAGGUUUUGUUUCCUGGAACAUCGCAUUUUUCUGUAAAGGCUUUGAAUAAUUCUUCCAACGGUUACGGUUGCCUUGCAAUGUACAUAAUAGUUGGGAUUUUUGUACACUUGCAAUGCUACUUCAUGUUUUUUUUUAUCCAUCCUUCUCUUUUACCA